GCCUAACACAUGCAAGUCGAACGAAGUAGCAAUACUUAGUGGCAGACGGGUGAGUAACAUGUAGGUAUCUACCCUAUGGCCUGGAAUAACACGAGGAAACUUGUGCUAAUACUGGAUAAGUCUUUACGGAGAAAGCUUUAUGCACCAUUGGAUGAGCCUGCACUUGAUUAGUUUGUUGGUGGGGUAAUGGCCUACCAAGACUUUGAUCAAUAGCUGAUUUGAGAGGAUGAUCAGCCACAUUGGGACUGAGACACGGCCCAAACUCCUACGGGAGGCAGCAGUGGGGAAUCUUGCACAAUGGAGGAAACUCUGAUGCAGCGAUGCCGCGUGAGUGAAGAAGGCCUUUGGGUUGUAAAGCUCUUUCGUCGGGGAAGAAAAUGACUGUACCCGAAUAAGAAGGUCCGGCUAACUUCGUGCCAGCAGCCGCGGUAAUA
rnacentral:rRNA from 1 species